rnacentral:tRNA from 2 species
CAAGACGUAGCUUUAACCCAAAGCACUCAGCUUACGCCUGAGAGAUAUCCGUUCACACCGGGUCGUCUUGA